AUGGACAAAAUAGUGGCCAGAAAACCCACCCUGCGGCUGCCAGUGACCAUCAGCAGCAACCAUCCCCUGCACAGCCCUGUGUCGGGACAUCAAGGCCUGGAAGAUCAGGACUCUCAGGCAGGUGCUGGGGAGUUCCCAGAUCUCAGAACUGUCCAUGGGCCCUGCUGGACACUCAUGUGGAUAACCAUUGGCCACCUUUUCAGUGUUACCAACAAAUAUAGAUAUGUUGGUUCCCUGCAAGCCUCACCCAACAACCACAUCCCUCCUCUAAAGAAGCCCCAGUGGACAGAGCUCGUCACCAUAGACUGGACCUGGAGGAUCCUCUUCUUGGUGGCAGCAGCUACAGGUGCCCACUCCCAGGUCCAGCUGGUGCAGUCUGGGGCUGACAUGAAGAAGCCUGGGUCCUCCAUGAAGGUCUCCUGCAAGGUGUCUGGAUACACCUUCACCGACUACUACAUGAAUUGGGUGCAACAGACCCCUGGACAAGGGCUCGAGUGGAUGGGAGAGAUCUACACUAGUAGUGAUGGCACAGGCUACGCACAGAAGUUCCAGGGCAGAGUCACCAUGACCAGGGACACGUCCAUGAGCACAGCCUACAUGGAGCUCAGAAGCCUGAGACCUGAGGACAUGGCCGUGUAUUACUGUGCAUGACAUACAGUGUGAAAACCACAUCCUGAGAGUGUCAGAAACCCCAGGGAGCAUGCAGCUGUGCUGAGCUGUGGAGAUAAAAGUGGUUAUUAAGUUCAAAGCUGCUUACAAAAUGGGUUAUAUAUUUGAGAAUAAAGAA